CUUCAGCGACCCCAACCACACCGGCGUUGACCGGUCCUGUCCGUAGGUGGCCAGUACGGCCUGCGCCUC
rnacentral:antisense_RNA from 1 species